CCUACGGGAGGCUGCAGUGGGGAAUAUUGCACAAUGGGGGAAACCCUGAUGCAGCGACGCCGCGUGGGUGAAGGAGUAUUUCGGUAUGUAAAGCCCUAUCAGCAGGGAAGAACAAUGACGGUACCUGACUAAGAAGCACCGGCUAAAUACGUGCCAGCAGCCGCGGUAAUACGUAUGGUGCAAGCGUUAUCCGGAUUUACUGGGUGUAAAGGGAGCGCAGGCGGCGCGUUAAGCCUGGUGUGAAAGUCCGCGGCCCAACCGCGGGACUGCAUUGGGAACUGGCGCGCUGGAGUGCCGGAGGGGUAGGCGGAAUUCCUAGUGUAGCGGUGAAAUGCGUAGAUAUUAGGAGGAACACCAGUGGCGAAGGCGGCCUACUGGACGGUGACUGACGCUGAGGCUCGAAAGCGUGGGGAGCAAACAGGAUUAGAUACCCCGGUAGUC
rnacentral:rRNA from 1 species